rnacentral:rRNA from 1 species
GCAUGGUGGGGGUUGGAAAGAUUUUUUGGUCUGGGAUGGGCUCGCGGCCUAUCAGCUUGUUGGUGAGGUAAUGGCUCACCAAGGCGUCGACGGGUAGCCGGCCUGAGAGGGUGACCGGCCACACUGGGACUGAGACACGGCCCAGACUCCUACGGGAGGCAGCAGUGGGGAAUAUUGCACAAUGGGCGAAAGCCUGAUGCAGCAACGCCGCGUGAGGGAUGACGGCCUUCGGGUUGUAAACCUCUUUUAGCAGGGAAGAAGCGAAAGUGACGGUACCUGCAGAAAAAGCGCCGGCUAACUACGUGCCAGCAGCCGCGGUAAUACGUAGGGCGCAAGCGUUAUCCGGAAUUAUUGGGCGUAAAGAGCUCGUAGGCGGUUUGUCGCGUCUGCUGUGAAAUCCCGAGGCUCAACCUCGGGCCUGCAGUGGGUACGGGCAGACUAGAGUGCGGUAGGGGAGAUUGGAAUUCCUGGUGUAGCGGUGGAAUGCGCAGAUAUCAGGAGGAACACCGAUGGCGAAGGCAGAUCUCUGGGCCGUAACUGACGCUGAGGAGCGAAAGGGUGGGGAGCAAACAGGCUUAGAUACCCUGGUAGUCCACCCCGUAAACGUUGGGAACUAGUUGUGGGGACCAUUCCACGGUUUCCGUGACGCAGCU